UUGUGGAGGAGGACGCCGAAGGUGGGGCUAAUGACUGGGGUGAAGUCGUAACAAGGUAGCCGUACCGGAAGGUGCGGCUGGAUCACCUCCUAACAGGGAGACAACAAAAUGUUUAAUAUUAUUAUUUUGUCACCUUAGGUCGAUCGGUAUCUCACGUUUUUAAUUUAUUAAGAAUUUCAUUUCCUAAGUUUUUCUAGGUCACACCCAUUAUUUUUCCUGGGCCAUUAGCUCAGGUGGUUAGAGCGCACCCCUGAUAAGGGUGAGGUCCCUGGUUCAAGUCCAGGAUGGCCCAUAUCUCUAUGUUGGGGGUAUAGCUCAGUUGGUAGAGCGCCUGCUUUGCAAGCAGGAUGUCAGCGGUUCGAGUCCGCUUACCUCCACUGAUUACCACCUCUUCCAUAACCGGUAAAAAGGGAAAUGUUUUGAGUUGUGAUCAAAUUCUGAAAGAAUCUAGCUUCCUAAUGAAAUCAUUAAGAUGCUGGACUCAUUGAAUUAAUUUCAUUGUUUUCAGAGAACCUUGACAACUGCAUAGAUUAUUUUUAAAGACAAUAAGCAUCUUUAAUGAUGCAGAUUUAUUAUUUGUGCGAAUGCAUUAAUAACAAUUCUAUUAAGCUGAUGCUUCAAUUUCUGAAGUUAUUGGUCAAGCUACAA
rnacentral:misc_RNA from 1 species